rnacentral:misc_RNA from 1 species
UGAGUAUUGAAAGAAAAAAAUAAUGUUGAGAGCUAGAAGAAGACACUCUAGUUUUUGCUUGGACCAUCCUGUUAAUAUCAUUUACUAUCUAUAUUUCUAAUUCAGCAAAGUGCUUCAUCUUUACCAAUAUCACCAAAAUUACCACAAAAAAACAAGAGCAGGGCAGACACUUUAAUGCUCAAACACAAACAUAUUAUUUAUACUUUACCCUGAUCUCCUGUAGAUGCUGUAGGCAACAGCGACAGUGGCCACAGCUCCAAUUACUGCUACAGCAGCAAGAAUUUCACUUUGUUCCCAUUUUCCUGUCCAGCACGAAAAUUUACUUGCCUUCUUCGGGACUUGGUCUUCUGAAGUUUCUUUUGACUUUUCUUCAAUUCUGCUACUUUUCCCUGAAGUUUCAUCUCUGCAACAACUGAAUCCAUUACUGCCCUGGCAACAACCUGUAAAUGUUUCCACUUUGCUUUGAUCGCCGUUUUCUUGAAUUUCAACCUUGCUUUUCUUUAUAUCUUCUCCAUUUGGAAGCUUUUGUUCACCUACCUUUCGAACUUCCUCCGGAUUUGAGCCCAUUUGUCCUCUCAAAAGCCUUUCCACGACCUCGCCCUUUGCAAUGUGCUGUUCAAACAAUUCAGAUACAUCUUCAGGAGUUACAUAUCCGUACCAAUGACCGGUAGUUUUCCCACCCACACCAGGUUGGUAUAUGAUCAAGUUUCCGGCAUACUUGUGUCCUCCAACGUGUGAACAUGGACUAACAUAAACCUGAUCCUUCAAUCCUCGUAAUCCGAUCUCCUCAUCGAACUUUUGGACAAGAAUGGGUCCACAAACACCACAUCUCCGAUCUCGACUACCAUGAACACACACAAACACAUGAGAGCCAGUGAAAACCUCUGGCACCCCAGACGCCCAGGGUUUAUCAUUCACAAGCACAUCAUCGACAAAGCCAUCCACAUCUGAAUCUUUCAAACCCCUGUAUUUGAUCAUUUCGGGGAAAAUCAACACAUCUCCAUCCGAAAAUCCAGUUUCUUCCCGUCCCGAGAAUAUUGUCAGCUUCGUCUUCAGAGAGAUAUCAUCCUUGCGAGCUUUGAGAGCGGCAGAGAGGAGCCUAGGGAGAACGUCAGAAUCAGAAGCUUCGAGAUGCGAGGGCCAGGCCUCCGGAGUUUUGUAGCAGAGAAAUACAUGGCGAUCAUAGGCGCUGACGGUGCCGGCGAGGUUGCUCUGAUACAUCUCCUCACGACGGAAUCCAUAGUUCUCGUCGUCGGCGCCGGAAAUGGUGGAUAGGUUAUCGGAGGCCAUAGGAAGAUGGAGAAACGAGGUCAGAGAUGGUAACGGAGAGAGAGGGGAAUUGGAAAGGA